UUGUGAUGUGUUAUGGAAACACAUUAUUUAUAUGUCGUAAAUAUGUUGUUCUCACCGCCGCGGGUUCUCAGCGGCAGACUCAACACGACACGUUAGUUACUUAGCGACGCGUCUCGCUCCGAUUCAAGCGAAAGUUCUGUCGCUCUCUGAAACAGAUGGAUCGGUUUGAGAGGACUUUCACUGGAAGCUAGCUCAAGAAAUAAACUGCUCUUUAUUUCGUCUACCCGCCCGUGUCUGAACUAUUAAAGACUUAAUUUAUGUUAAUUUAACUGUUAUGUAAUGUUUUACUUAUAUCAAUCAUAAAAAUAAGAAUUCCGCGCGGGCAAAGUCGACGGUAGGUACAGCAAAUUUAUAAAAAAAUAGCAAUAGGUAGAUCUAAGACUCGCGAGUAUUCAUUUAAAUAAAAAUAAUAUUUUCGGAAUUAAA